rnacentral:misc_RNA from 1 species
UUCCCCCUAUUGAAGCCUUCCGCAGCGACUUGAUAAAGAACUGCGUAGCCUGCUUUGCAGACCACACCACGAAAGUGCUAGGACUUGAUCAACUUCGAGUAUCAGCAGCCUAGAGUUCUAGGUCCACAGAUCAUAUAGUGGUGGUCAUUUAUGAUUGAGAUAUGACCGGUCUUAACUAAUUCUAGUUAAGAAUCAACGUUCCGUAGGUGAACUUGCGGAAGGAUCAUUAUUGAAAAGGGAGCCCUUCGGG